rnacentral:tRNA from 1 species
AACUCAAUAGCUCAAUUGGUAGAGCAAUAGCUCAGGACAGAGGUAUGAGGUUCAAAUCCCAUCUGAGUUU